AGCUAUGAUCUUGAAGAACAAGAACAAAGUGACAGAAACUGUUAAAAGAUCUGCUUCACUGAAGGCAACAAGACACAAAUUUCAGGAAGGGCCUAUAUCAGAAAGAAGGAACGGACGCACACCUCCCCAAGGAGCCCUGGCACUAACUACAACACACACAGGGUUUGGCCAGACGUGGACCAGCUUUUGGAAAACACUAACUCAACUGUCAUCCAACUUGCUGCAGUUAACCACCUGUCAGUCACCCAUCAGGGUGCAUGAAGGUCUGGUUUGAUCACUUUGCUAAGGGCUGCACAAGGAAGAAAAAAAGUCAUAAAACACUAUAUUGUCAAGCAGUACUCACUGCUUCUCCUCUUCACUGUCCUCUACCUUGAGUCCCUCAAAAUAUUUCACCUGCAUGACAUUUCUUCACUUGAGAUGCUGUUUGCCCUUUAAAUGGCAUCUUAGCAUUUGAGGUCCUCUAGCUGUCUUCUUUCUCUUCCUGAGGCUGACAAUUCUGCUGAAAGUUUGUGAAAAGGCUUGACAUUCACAAAAUCUAAGGUCUUCUGGUGAUACCAAAUGUAACAGGAAUGGAAGCAUCA